AACAAAAACAAUAUAGCAGCAAAGAAAGACUGUGAACUAAAGAAAAUACCCUGCACGAGCAGGGUAUUUUAUUGCACGAUAUAUUGCACGAGCCUGGGGCGAAAUGAUAAGUGAUUUUACCAUCCUAUUGGCCUGGUUCGAGUAUGGUUUUGGCAGCCUAAUGAGGUGGGAGCUACCAUACCAUUUAAGGACCCUUAUUUUGAUGGGUGUAUACAUGUUCUGGUGAGUCUGGGUUCCUCACUUCCUGGCAUUUCCGUUUCGUUUCCAUUCAGGUAGGUUGAGGUGUUGCUCACUGUUUAAUGAUCUCGAGGCUAAAAAUGCUGAUGUACCAUUUUGAUUAGAGCGGAGCUGGUGGCGUGCACGUUGUGGCGAGUUUGCGGCGGAGGUCGCUUUCAGGUAUGUCUGGUACUUUUUACAUUUUCUAGAUUGCAUAUUGUGGAGGUAUUUAUUGUAUUUUGUUCACAGUAACAGCAGCCUUAGCAGGUGGGUGAAUGAUGGUCUGUACACUAAGCCGCAGGUUGUGUUGUGAACAAUCAUACAACUUUGCGUCUGGUGGUUGCUCAACCAAAUUGUAAGUACGCCUCUCCCUUUUUCACAUCGGGGCUCGUUAGAUGUAAUUUAACUGUGUCUUUUUCUAAGGUAAGCAUGGGGAGUUGAACAUCUAACCCUAAAUCAAAUCGCUAGCCGAAGACGCUAUAUGUGACGCUGCUGCUGUUUUGCUUUUGGGCAUUUUGUCUCUUUUGUUUUGCUUAUGGGCAUUUUGUCUCUUUUGUUUUGCUUACAGGCAUUUUGUCUCUUUUGUUUUGCUUAAGGGCAUUUUGUCUCUUUAUUUUGCUUAUGGGCAUUUGAUUCUGCUGCUUGCUCACCGGCAAUUGUUUGGCUGUUAUGCUUUGCGGCUCGCAUGGUUGUCCGGUUAUGAGCCUCGCGUUUGCUGUGCUGCAUAUCAUCUCCUAAUUGUGUAGUUUGUUUCCACUUUGUGCUUUGUGCAGUGUCUUUCUUUUUUUGUUUACUUUAAUUGUUGCUAUAGUGUUUAGUUAUCUUGUGGCUAUUGUUUUGAUUUUUAGGUUGAGUAAAUUUGUUUUGUGACCACAUAUAGUGUGAGACGGUUUGUUAAAUUGGUCCAUGUCUCUGCCUCCAACCUGUUAUUUCAGGAACCAGUGAGGUCUUUGUGGGGAGCAGGGGAGGCUAGCUGUCUUGAUUCAGUGGUGUGCUUCACAAGUGUGUUAAAUUUGCCGACACAACUUUAUGGUGCGUGUGGUGUUUGAUGAUUUGGUGUGAAUUUGAGGUGAGUUUGGAUGAUCU